CACUAUUCAGAAUCUGGACAUAUAAUAUGUUUAUGGCAUUUAACCUAGUCAGACAGUAGAUAUCACUCUAAGUCAUGGCCUACACCUGUGAGCCUACUUAUAUCAGCAUUUGCCAAAUGUACUUGUAGCUGUGGUGCUGACCUCAGAGAACUUAGCCAAAGAGCAAAGACUGCCUAAUUCAAGAAGUACUGAGAAGAUGUUCUAGGAUUACUUCAUGCUGUCCAGGUCCUAGACGUGGAAUCAUUUGCUUCUUCAAAAGUCUGGAUCCCUUUAAGAUACGAAAUGUAUUUAGAAACCAAAGUAUGGAUGCUAGGUGUGCUCAUGGCCAUUGGAGUGUGUUUCUAGACCCAGGAAUAAGCAAACAAUGGCCUGUAAACUA